rnacentral:tRNA from 2 species
AUUUAUAUAGUUUAAUUAAAACAUUACAUUUUCAAUGUAAAAAUAAAAAUCUCUUUUUAUAAAUA